AUGGAGGCCUUCCUCGCCGGCUUCCGGGCGCCGCCUCGAGCUUCCGCCGUACCCACCGCCCGGAGCCCGCCUCCCAGCCCCUUUUUUCUCGGCACACGGCGCAGUAAGCCCUCCUCCUCCGCCUCCGUGGUCUGCAUGGCGGAGCGACAUCUCAUAUCAAAGUUGGAUUCUACAGAGAAGGCAUGGAAAGAAAUGUCGAUUAGAUUGGGUGACCCUGACAUUGUCUCAGAUCCAAGCGAAUACCAAAAACUUGCACAGUCUGUUUCCGAUCUGGGAGAGGUUGUGACGGCAUAUAGGGAAUUUAAGGAAUGUGAAAGGCAGAUUGAAGAAACAAAAGCUUUGCAAAAAGAGAAUGGUGAUGACCCUGAUAUGGCUGAGAUGAUAGCUUCAGAGCUAGAGUCUCUCUCUGAUCAGCUUGCGGAGCUCGAGGAAAGACUGACGGUACUUCUGCUUCCAAGCGACCCUCUAAAUUCACGUAACAUCUUACUUGAAGUAAGAGCUGGCACUGGAGGUGAUGAAGCUGGAAUUUGGGCUGGUGACCUUGUACGCAUGUACCAAAGAUAUUGUGAGCUCAACAAUUGGAAGUUUAAACCAGUUUCUUGCUCAGAAGCAGAAAAGGGUGGAUACAAGACAUAUGUGAUGGAGGUGAAGGGAAAGCAAGUCUACAGUAAACUGAAGUUUGAGUCAGGUGUGCACCGUGUUCAGCGUGUACCACAGACAGAGACUAUGGGUCGUGUUCACACGUCAACCGCAACUGUGGCUAUUAUGCCAGAGGCCGACGAAGUGGACGUGGUUAUUGAUCCAAAAGAUAUUGAACUUAAAGCUGCCAGAUCUGGUGGAGCUGGAGGGCAGAAUGUUAACAAGGUGGAGACGGCUAUUGAUCUUAUUCACAAGCCUACGGGAAUAAGGAUAUUCUGCACAGAAGAAAGGUCACAACUUCAAAACAAAGAACGCGCGUUCCAGUUAUUAAGAGCAAAACUAUAUGAGAUAAAGUUAAGGGAGCAACAAGAGUCCAUAAGAACCCAGAGGUUACUGCAGGUCGGUACUGGUGCUCGCUCGGAGAAGAUACGGACGUACAAUUAUAAGGACAACAGAGUGACUGAUCAUCGGUUGAAGAUGAAUUUUGUAUUGUCUAGCUUCCUUUUAGGAGAUAUUGAAUCAGCUGUUCAGUCCUGCGCUGCAUUGGAGCAGAAGGAACUCUUGGAGGAAAUGGCCACUUCUUCUGCAGUGAAGGCGUGA
rnacentral:rRNA from 1 species